AGCAUACGGUGCCCCGUGAAUACCGGGGAUAAUAGGGAAGCGGGUGAGAAUCCCGCGCGAUCCCGUCACUGUGACAGAGCGUGACGGUCCAAUAUGUCACUGGGCGAAUGAAAAGCCCGGGAAGGCGGACCGGCAUAAGGCUCUCAAGCCAGGAGACCUGCCGUAUCUU
rnacentral:ncRNA from 1 species